rnacentral:rRNA from 1 species
UUGAACGCUGGCGGAAUGCUUUACACAUGCAAGUCGAACGGCAGCACGGGGGCAACCCUGGUGGCGAGUGGCGAACGGGUGAGUAAUGUAUCGGAACGUACCCCGUCGUGGGGGAUAACGUAGCGAAAGUUACGCUAAUACCGCAUACGCCCUGAGGGGGAAAGCAGGGGAUCUUCGGACCUUGUGCGAAUGGAGCGGCCGAUGUCAGAUUAGCUAGUUGGUGGGGUAAAGGCCCACCAAGGCGACGAUCUGUAGCGGGUCUGAGAGGAUGAUCCGCCACACUGGGACUGAGACACGGCCCAGACUCCUAUGGGAGGCAGCAGUGGGGAAUUUUGGACAAUGGGCGCAAGCCUGAUCCAGCCAUGCCGCGUGCGGGACGAAGGCCUUCGGGUUGUAAACCGCUUUCAGCCGGAAAGAAAUCGUCAAGGCUAAUAUCCUUGAUGGAUGACGGUACCGGAAGAAGAAGCACCGGCUAACUACGU